AUUGAACGCUGGCGGCAGGCCUAACACAUGUAAGUCGAACGGUAACAGGAAGACGCUUGCUUCUUUGCUGACGAGUGGCGGACGGGUGAGUAAUGUCUGGGAAACUGCCUGAUGGAGGGGGAUAACUACUGGAAACGGUAGCUAAUACCGCAUAAUGUCGCAAGACCAAAGAGGGGGACCUUCGGGCCUCUUGCCAUCGGAUGUGCCCAGAUGGGAUUAGCUAGUAGGUGGGGUAACGGCUCACCUAGGCGACGAUCCCUAGCUGGUCUGAGAGGAUGACCAGCCACACUGGAACUGAGACACGGUCCAGACUCCUACGGGAGGCAGCAGUGGGGAAUAUUGCACAAUGGGCGCAAGCCUGAUGCAGCUAUGCCGCGUGUAUGAAGAAGGCCUUCGGGUUGUAAAGUACUUUCAGCGGGGAGGAAGGGAGUAAAGUUAAUACCUUUGCUCAUUGACGUUACCCGCAGAAGAAGCACCGGCUAACUCCGUG
rnacentral:rRNA from 1 species